GAUGAACGCUAGCUACAGGCUUAACACAUGCAAGUCGAGGGACCGGCGCACGAGUGAGUAACACGUAUCCAACCUGCCCUUUACUCUGGGCUAGCCUUUCGGAAGAAAGAUUCAUACCCGAUCUAAAGGAUGGGGAUGCGUUCCAGUAGGUUGUUGGUGAGGUACCGGCUCACCAAGCCUUCGAUGGAUAGGGGUGCGGAGAGGAAGUACACCCAAAUCGGAACUGAGCGGCGGAACAAACUGCUACGGGAGGCAGCGUUGAGGGAUAUAGGUCAAUGGGGGCUAGCCUGAACCGGCCACGUUGCGUGAAAGAGGAAGGUUUAUGGGUCGUAAUCUUCUGUUAGAUAAGUAUAUGUAUUAUAUGAAUAAGGAUCGGCUAACUCCGUGCCAGCAGCCGCGGUAAUAC
rnacentral:rRNA from 1 species